UGGGGAUUGAACUCGGGACCUCAUGCAUGCAUGCGCUCUAUCGUCUGAGCUAUACCCUCCCCCCACAGCAGGUUAAUUUAAAUAUUGUUUUCAGAGUAAUAAGUUACUGAUGGCCAACCAGAGCUGCAGGCUUUUAGGGUUUAUAGAUGACAUCGCGCAGGCUCUACAGCACUCCUUUCUGAAGUCUGCAUGUCUUUUUUUAAAUUUAGAUUAAUUUUAUUUUUUGAACUUUUUUUAUUGAGCUAUAGUCAGUUUACAAUGUUGUGUCACAUUCCAGUGUAGAGCAGUUUUUCAGUUGUACAUGAACAUACAUACAUUCGUUGUCACAUUCUCUUUCGCUGUGAGUGAAGUCUGCGUGUCUUAAAAGGAUUAUUUAUUUUCACACCAGGGAGACUGAAUGUUCUCGAUUCACCACUUUAUCAGAAUGGAUUCUGCGAAGCAAAAUUGUGCCUGAUUUUCUGCAGCUCCAGGAGGAGAGGGAUUGUACGCUCACCUUCCUGAGAUUUGUUUCAUGAGCAUUUGUGGGUCUCUGCUUUUUAAAACCAAGCACCAGCAUUUCAUUACUGAGUAUUUAGAGGGAAAAAAAGGCCGGCCUAAGAAGCUUAAAAUGUACGAAAGGAAAGAGAAAGAAGCAAACAGAUGUGGAACACGUUACGAUUUUCAUCCACACUUGGGAGGCAGGUCCCUUCCCUUCAGGGCCAGUGUGAGGGCUUGGCCCCAGCGAAGCAGCGGGGCUGUGGCUGGGGCUGUCUCCAGGGCAGGAGGGACAGAAAGUUCUUGGAAGUAGAGUGAUUGUCAGAAUGGCCUUUAAAAAUUUCUCCGGGGUAGACACCACCUGCUGUCUGGCUCAGAGUUAGCUGAAAUAUUGGAGACAGUUUUUACUCCAGCUGAGGCUUGGUAUCUCUGAGACCAGGAAAACCUCUCACCCACUGACAUUCAGACUUAACUUGAAGGAGGAGCUGAAGGAAAUUUCUGUGGGGGCCACAUCAGCUGUCCAUUUCUCUGAAUUUCCCGAUUUCAAAGACUGUUUCCAUUUCUUUAUGGUCCUGGUCCUCUGUCAGUUGUUCCCUAGCCUGUGGCUGUCUCUGUCCCUUCCUUUCCAGGCCGGGUGCUCUGGGGACAGGAGCCAUGGCCACCUGGAGGCAUUGGGACCUGACUUCAUCAAAAUGGGAUGGUGGAGAGAGAAGACUCUAGCGAAGGCUGGAGAAGAGCUUACCUCCACGGUGUCCUCCGCUGUUCCAAAUGUGAGCCGCUAAAGAGCAGAAGCCACACUGCUCUAUAUGUAGGCCCCCAACACAGGUAAGAGGACUGAAUAAAGAAAAUAAAGGAUGCAAACUACGAAAUUGAUCUGCCGCUCUGUCCUCUGCAGAAUCUGCCCAUCAGCUUCCCACUAGCAAAGAUCUGACUCUAUCCACGACUUCCUCCCUGUCUCUGGAAGUGUACUCUCUCUAGUGACCCGAGGUCUUAUUAAUUUGGACUCGGCUGCACUUGUCCUGCUGAAGACACAGAGUAAGGUCACACACUUGUGAAAGGGGUGGGGUAUCACAUGAAGAUGCUGGAGGUUCCUUUUAUCAUCACCUGGGAAGGCUGUGGGCUCUCAGACAGUACUCCAGCAGGUGGAUCUUAAAGAGGAAGGAAUGGGACACCUGCCUAUCUCUGAACUCCACUCUCUUUAGACUUCUGGACCCUGAGAUGUGGGCCUCUGGCGCUGGGUGCUCAGAAGGUGUCCAAGCUUAGAGCAAGGAUGGAAGGGCCUAUGACAGUGGGUGCAGACCAUACCUUUUUGUGGCCAGACUGGUUUUUAUUGCCCUAAGUCCCCUGCCCCCAGUGCUUUUGCCAGCUAC